CCUACGGGUGGCAGCAGUGAGGAAUAUUGGUCAAUGGACGAGAGUCUGAACCAGCCAAGUAGCGUGAAGGAUGACUGCCCUAUGGGUUGUAAACUUCUUUUAUAUGGGAAUAAAAUGUUCCACGUGUGGGAUUUUGUAUGUACCAUAUGAAUAAGGAUCGGCUAACUCCGUGCCAGCAGCCGCGGUAAUACGGAGGAUCCGAGCGUUAUCCGGAUUUAUUGGGUGUAAAGGAGGUGUAGGUGGAUUGUUAAGUCAGUUGUGAAAGUUUGCGGCUCAACCGUAAAAUUGCAGUUGAAACUGGCAGUCUGGAGUACAGUAGAGGUGGGCGGAAUUCGUGGUGUAGCGGUGAAAUGCUUAGAUAUCACGAAGAACUCCGAUUGCGAAGGCAGCUCACUGGACUGCAACUGACACUGAGGCUCGAAAGUGUGGGUAUCAAACAGGAUUAGAUACCCCAGUAGUC
rnacentral:rRNA from 1 species